rnacentral:misc_RNA from 1 species
GUAGGUGAACCUGCGGAAGGAUCAUCACUGAUUCUCGGGGAUGGGGUGAUGUGUGUGUUCGUCGCGCAUCUCCCCGCCCCAACCAAUCUUGUGUGCACCGUUUCUCACCGAUCAAGGAGAGCAAUCAAUAAUGCGCGUGUGACAUGUGUGUGUUGGCAAGGGAGGGAGGGAGCCUUACCACACUCUACUCUCUCUUGCCAACCGCACGCACCCUGUCGCUCGUGUUUUUUUCUCUCUAUUUAAAAUCUCU